rnacentral:rRNA from 1 species
CUAAAAUUAAUAAUAAAAAAUUUAUCAAUUUAUUUUGUAUCUUAGUUUAUUGAGGAUAAGCUCAGUAAAAAUAAUAAAAUAGUAUAUAUCUCAUUUAAUUAACCACAUGGGCUUGAAAUUAGCCAUUGUAUUAAAGUUUGUUACAAAAUAGUCUUUACAUGCAGAAAGAUUAAUAUACUUUUUUUUAUAGUGGUAAUACGAAAAACCAAGAUAUCUUGAUUCACUUAUGCUAGGAUGAGUAUUGAUGUAUAAGAUAUAUAAACAAAAAUAAAAAAAAUACAUAAAAUAACUUUACUUAAAAUAAAAUAAGAAUAAGGAAUUCAGCAAACGCUUAGCUCCGCCUGUUUAUCAAAAACAUGGCUCUUUGUUAAUCAGAUAUAAAGAGUCGGACCUGCCCAGUGAAGUUUUAACGGCCGCGGUACUCUGACCGUGCAAAGGUAGCAUAAUCAUUUGCCUUAUAAUUGAAGGCUUGUAUGAAUGGUUUGACGGGAGCAUUACUGUCUUUUUCUUACCUUAUAGAACUUGACCUCUAGGUGAAGAGGCCUAGAUACAGUUGAAAGACAAAAAGACCCUGUCGAGCUUAAAAAUGGAUCAGAAUAAUUUUAUUAUUAAAGAUUAAUUACUGGCUAAUUUUUUUGGUUGGGGCGACCAAGGAACAAAAAAGCUUCCUCUACUUUCUUAGCUGAUAAGCAUAGAUCCAGAAAAAGCUGAUUAAAAGAAAUAGUUACCGCAGGGAUAACAGCAUAAUCUCUCUUGAGAGACCUAAUCGAAAGAGGGGAUUGUGACCUCGAUGUUGGACUAGAAUACCCCAAAGACGCAGAAGUCU